rnacentral:rRNA from 1 species
UACGUAGGGUGCAAGCGUUGUCCGGAAUUAUUGGGCGUAAAGAGCUCGUAGGCGGUUUGUCGCGUCUGCUGUGAAAACUCGGGGCUUAACUCCGGGCCUGCAGUGGGUACGGGCAGACUAGAGUGCGGUAGGGGAGACUGGAAUUCCUGGUGUAGCGGUGAAAUGCGCAGAUAUCAGGAGGAACACCGGUGGCGAAGGCGGGUCUCUGGACAGUUCCUGACACUGAGACGCGAAAGCGUGGGGAGCAAACAGG